rnacentral:lncRNA from 1 species
GGUGUGAGGGAGCGAUGGCGGCGGCGGCGGCUGAAACGCGGCUUUAUCUUCAACAGAUGUGCGGCUAUGAAGCUUAGCGGGGCUCAGCUCGGCGCGCGGCCGUCCAGGAGCUGCUGAGCGAAGGACCAGGCUGGUGUUGUGGGCUCCAUCGUGUGGCCCCAGCUCCUGCCUCAGCACCAGCAUCACCCGGUGCCAGGACCAUGGGGCCAGCCCUGCCCGGUGCUGCUGCACCUCUGUGGGGAUGGAGAUGGUGAGGAGGAUGAUGAAGAAGAGCCCAUGGAUCAGGAUGAGGAGAGAUUAACCCUUACCCUGCCGAAACCUCUGUGCAUCGAAGACGUGCACCAGCUCCCCACGCCACAGCGGCAGCACCAUGGUACGUGCAGCUCAGCAGUGAACCUCCAGCAUUCCUGUCGUCAUUCGCAUCAUCCCGGAUCCAUCCCAGAGAUGCAGGAAGAUCCCUCGAUGCCCCGUAGCGACCCAGAGAGACUCCUGGACACUCCAUAAAGCCCUGUACACCCUACAGGCAUCGCAUAGAGCCAUACAGUGACCCACAGACACCCGACAGCAACCAUUGGACCCAUAUAGACCCCAUAGUGACCCAUAGAUCCCCAUAACUACCCACAGAGACCACAGAGUGACCCACACACUGCCCCAUGGCAACCCAUAUCACCCCAUAGACACCCUCCACUGCCCCAUAGCAUCCUAUAGACCCACAACUCACACCCCACAGCUUUUAUUGACCACUGGCAUUGCAGUAACAGCAGCAGAAUCUGUAUACAUAGCACCCGAUAGGGAACCCCCUACCCCCCGUGGCCCGUAAGUGCCCCAACACCCGUGAAUUUUUUAGUCUCUUUCAUUCAUUUUUAUUCACUUUUUCAUAAUUUAUAAUUGCUUGUUUUCACUUUUCGUUGAAUUUCUUCGGUUUAAUUCACUUUUUAUUUGGUUUUUAGUCAAUUUUUGUUCACUUUUCAAGUUGCAGUCAGGCUGAUUCACUUUUUAUUCCCUUUUUAAUGACAUUAUGGUGGGUCUUGGCUAGGUGUGAGGCCAAGGCAGGGUUAAUAAAGGCCUGGGGGCAUGGUCGCCUUUAUUAACCCCACCUUGGCCUCACACCCAGCCCAGACCCACCGCAAUGUGAUCAUUAUGUGAUCGCUAUGGGGUCUCUAUGAGUCUCUAGUGGUCGCUGUGCAGCUCUAUGAGAUGUCUACAGGGGCUGUGGGGCUCUAUGAGUUUCUCUGGGUCGCUAUGGGGCAUUUAAAAAAAAAAAAAAAGUUAUUUAAAAAUAAGAGACUAAAAAGCAAAUAAAUCUGAAGAAAAAGAUGAAUAGAAAAGCAAAUAAAGCUGGAUAAAACUGCGUAAAGAUAAUAAAAAGCAAAAGUGAAUAAUGUGAUUACAAAUUAUUACAAAGCAAAUAAAAAGGAAUAAAAGUGAACAAGGCUGAAUGAAUCUCGAAUAAAAGUUCAUAAAA